rnacentral:rRNA from 1 species
CGAAAGCCUGACGGAGCAACGCCGCGUGUGGGAAGAAGGCUCUUGGGCUGUCAACCACUUUUCUCAGGGAAGAAGUCCUGACGGUACCUGAGGAAUCAGCCUCGGCUAACUCCGUGCCAGCAGCCGCGGUAAUACGGAGGAGGCAAGCGUUAUCCGGAAUUACUGGGCGUAAAGCGUUCGUAGGGGGCUCGUCAAAUCUGCUGUCAAAGGUCGGAGCUUAACUCCGGUUAGGCAGUGGAAACUGGUGCGCUAGAGGGCGGCAGGGGCAGAAGGAAUUCCCGGUGUAGCGGUGAAAUGCGUAGAUAUCGGGAAGAACACCAGAGGCGAAAGCGUUCUGCUGGGCCGCGCCUGACCCUGAGGGACGAAAGCCAGGGGAGCG